GGAGGGGUGUCCGAGUGGCUUAAGGAGCACGCCUGGAAAGCGUGUAAAGGUUAAUAGCUUUUCGAGGGUUCGAAUCCCUCUCCCUCCGCCA
rnacentral:tRNA from 1 species